rnacentral:rRNA from 1 species
UACGGAGGGAGCUAGCGUUGUUCGGAAUUACUGGGCGUAAAGCGCGCGUAGGCGGCGAACCAAGUCAGGGGUGAAAUCCCGGGGCUCAACCCCGGAACUGCCUUUGAAACUAGUUUGCUAGAAUCUUGGAGAGGUCAGUGGAAUUCCGAGUGUAGAGGUGAAAUUCGUAGAUAUUCGGAAGAACACCAGUGGCGAGGGCGACUGACUGGACAAGUAUUGACGCUGAGGUGCGAAAGCGUGGGGAGCAAACAGG